GGUCACCAGGCCUCCCUUAAUAUUGGCCUAGGCAAAUCACUAUGGCUAGCCUUACCACUAGGCUCUUGGGAUAUUUCCAUUGCCUCAUAAAUAUAUGGCGACAAUCUGGGUCAGGCCACACCUCAGCAAGAUCUAACUACAAAACAUUUGCUUUCUAUGAUAAACGAACCACAUUUCACAGGCUGUGGGUCAAUAAGCUGUCACAAUACAUCUGCCAA